CGAAAGCCUGACGGAGCAAUACCGCGUGAGGGAGGAAGGCUCUUGGGUUGUAAACCUCUUUUCUCAGGGAAGAAAUCUGACGGUACCUGAGGAAUCAGCAUCGGCUAACUCCGUGCCAGCAGCCGCGGUAAUACGGAGGAUGCAAGCGUUAUCCGGAAUGAUUGGGCGUAAAGCGUCCGCAGGUGGCAGUUCAAGUCUGCUGUCAAAGACCGGGGCUCAACCCUGGAAAGGCAGUGGAAACUGAACAGCUAGAGUGCGGUAGGGGCAGAGGGAAUUCCAAGUGUAGCGGUGAAAUGCGUAGAGAUUGGGAAGAACACCGGUGGCGAAAGCGCUCUGCUAGACCGCAACUGACACUCAGGGACGAAAGCUAGGGGAGCGAAUGGGAUUAGAUACCCCAGUAGUCCUAGCCGUAAACGUUGGAUACUAGGCGUUGCUCGUAUCGACCCGAGCAGUGUCGUAGCUAACGCGUUAAGUAUCCCGCCUGGGGAGUACGCCGGCAACGGUGAAACUCAAAGGAAUUGACGGGGGCCCGCACAAGCGGUGGAGUAUGUGGUUUAAUUCGAUGCAACGCGAAGAACCUUACCAAGACUUGACAUGUCGCGAACCCUGCUGAAAGGUGGGGGUGCCUUCGGGAGCGCGAACACAGGUGGUGCAUGGCUGUCGUCAGCUCGUGUCGUGAGAUGUUGGGUUAAGUCCCGCAACGAGCGCAACCCUCGUUUUUAGUUGCCAGCGGGUAAAGCCGGGCACUCUAGAGAGACUGCCGGUGACAAACCGGAGGAAGGUGGGGAUGACGUCAAGUCAGCAUGCCCCUUACGUCUUGGGCAACACACGUACUACAAUGCUACGGACAAAGGGCAGCAAGUUAGCAAUGACAAGCAAAUCCCACAAACCGUGGCUCAGUUCAGAUUGGAGGCUGCAACUCGCCUCCAUGAAGUCGGAAUCGCUAGUAAUUGCAGGUCAGCAUACUGCAGUGAAUUCGUUCCCGGGCCUUGUACACACCGCCCGUCACACCAUGGAAGCUGGCCACGCCCGAAGUCGUUACCCUAACCGCAAGGAGGGGGACGCCGAAGGCAUGGCUGGUGACUGGGGUGAAGUCGUAACAAGGUAGCCGUACCGGAAGGUGUGGCUGGAUCACCUCCUUUACAGGGAGACCUACCCCAUCGGUAUCGAAAGAAAAUCUAGAGAUAACGAUGAGGUCACCCCUAAGGUCGGUCGAGGAAAUGGUGUGGCUUUUCAACUAUAAUCGGUUCGGUAUCAUAGUCGGGGCUAUUAGCUCAGGUGGUUAGAGCGCACCCCUGAUAAGGGUGAGGUCCCUGGUUCGAGUCCAGGAUGGCCCACCUAAACUUGUGGAUACUACUGACAGCAAAGUGACUGGAAAAACCCCAGUCAGACUGCUGGCAUGUGAACCAGCCAGAACCUUGAAAACUGCAUAAGUAACGCGUUAAAGCAAGCAGAUACAGCCGUAGUAAGCGCGAAAGCUGUAAUGCUUGCUGUGUAUAAACCAAUGUGGUCAAGCUAAUCAGGGCUGACGGUGGAUACCUAGGCACACAGAGGCGAAGAAGGACGUGGCGACCGACGAAAAGCUCCGGGGAGCUGGAAGCAAGCAUCGAGCCGGAGAUCUCCGAAUGGGGCAACCCUAAAUACUACCUGCUGAAUAUAUAGGCAGGCUUGAGCCAACCCAGCGAACUGAAACAUCUUAGUAGCUGGAGGAACAAAAAGAAAAAUCGAUUCCCUAAGUAGUGGUGAGCGAACAGGGAACAGCCUAAACCAGCUGUUACGACAGUUGGGGUAGUGGGACAGCAACAAUAGAUAGUCUAGUCUAAACGAAGCAGUUGGCAUACUGCACCAGAGAAGGUGAAAGUCCUGUAAUUGAAAGGCGAAACUGCUAUAGCUGAAUCCCGAGUAGCACGGGGCACGAGGAAUCCCGUGUGAAUCAGCGAGGACCAUCUCGUAAGGCUAAAUACUACUGUGUGACCGAUAGUGAACCAGUACCGAGGGAAAGGUGAAAAGAACCCCGCAAGGGGAGUGAAAUAGAACAUGAAACCGUCAGCUGUCAAGCAGUGGAAGGACGAUUCAACGUCUGACCGCGUGCCUGUUGAAGAAUGAGCCGGCGACUUAUAAGCAGUGGCAGGUGAAGGCGAGAAUGCCACAACCAAAGCGAAAGCGAGUCUGAAUCGGGCGUUAAAGUCACUGUUUAUAGACCCGAACCCGGGUGAUCUAACCAUGUCCAGGAUGAAGCUUGGGUAACACCAAGUGGAGGUCCGAACCGACCGAUGUUGAAAAAUCGGCGGAUGAGGUGUGGUUAGGGGUGAAAUACCAAUCGAACCCGGAGCUAGCUGGUUCUCCCCGAAAUGUGUUGAGGCGCAGCGGUUGUGAAUAUAGCCUGGGGGUAAAGCACUGUUUCGGUGCGGGCUGCCUUAAGCGGUACCAAAUCGAGACAAACUCAGAAUACCAGGUGCACACACAACCAGUGAGACGGUGGGGGAUAAGCUCCAUCGUC
rnacentral:sRNA from 1 species